CAGCCGCCGCGGGAAUACGUAGGUGGCAAGCGUUGUCCGGAAUUAUUGGGCGUAAAGCGCGCGCAGGUGGUUUAAUAAGUCUGAUGUGAAAGCCCACGGCUCAACCGUGGAGGGUCAUUGGAAACUGUUAAACUUGAGUGCAGGAGAGAAAGGUGGAAUUCCUAGUGUAGCGGUGAAAUGCGUAGAGAUUAGGAGGAACACCAGUGGCGAAGGCGGCUUUUUGGCCUGUAACUGACACUGAGGCGCGAAAGCGUGGGGAGCAAACAGGAUUAGAUACCCCGGUAGUCCCUGUCUCUUAUAC
rnacentral:rRNA from 1 species